AUUGAACGCUGGCGGCAUGCCUUACACAUGCAAGUCGAACGGUAACGCGGGGCAACCUGGCGACGCGUGGCGAACGGGUGAGUAAAGCAUCGGAACGUGCCCAGUAGUGGGGGAUAGCCCGGCGAAAGCCGGAUUAAUACCGCAUACGACCUACGGGUGAAAGGGGGGGAUCGCAAGACCUCUCGCUAUUUGAGCGGCCGAUGUCAGAUUAGCUAGUUGGUGGGGUAAAGGCCUACCAAGGCGACGAUCUGUAGCUGGUCUGAGAGGACGACCAGCCACACUGGGACUGAGACACGGCCCAGACUCCUACGGGAGGCAGCAGUGGGGAAUUUUGGACAAUGGACGCAAGUCUGAUCCAGCCAUGCCGCGUGCGGGAAGAAGGCCUUCGGGUUGUAAACCGCUUUUGUCAGGGAAGAAAUCUUCUGGGUUAAUACCUCGGGAGGAUGACGGUACCUGAAGAAUAAGCACCGGCUAACUACGUGCCAGCAGCCGCCGUAA
rnacentral:rRNA from 1 species